AUAAAUCCCCAAUAAUACUUUCAUUGUUUUAGGUUUUCUACAGAUCCAUAAAUGGUUUUUACAAGGAUCAAAACUAUGGCUCUUUUCUUAGUUAUGGCUCUUCUCAUUUUCUCACAAGUUGCAGACGCUCGACAGCUCGAUCGAUCUCCAUAUAAAAGAAUACCUGGAAAGUUUAACUGCCCCGAAGGACGAUAUCCGUGCUGUGGGUAUAGUGGAGUGUGCCAAUGCUGCCGGUAGCCCAACAACACUCACGUUUCCAACCAACCACUUUUGUUUUAUGUAAUUUUAAAAAAAUAUAUAUAAAGGAAAAUAAAGUUCGAAUAUUACGUUGGAUUUAUCUUUCAGAGAGUGAGCUGAUUUACAGUUGGCCCGAAUCGAAAAUGGCCUGACUAACCGAAACUUUUCUUAUUAUUUUUUUUUGUCAAACAUCUUGACUCCAUUUUUAAUUUGAGAUUAAGAUUUUAAUGUUUGCUGUGAGGGCAAACAAUUCCCAUACUGGAGAAUGAAUAAGAGUUGCAAGUGAAUAAAUGGGUUACCCCAACUGCAUUAGUAUGAAGCCUUUUGGGAAGUACCCCAAAAGCAAACUGUGAGGGCUUUGCCUAAAGCGGGCAAUAUCAUACUAACGUGGAGUUUAGGUGUGCAGUAUCGUGACCCAACAUUUGCAAAAUAAUUUUAAUAUUCUCAAACACCUAAUAAAUAAUUGGUGUUAAAUAUUUGUCCAAACAUUACCUCUUGCGAUCUACUACUUAGUGUAAGUUAUAGUAGCAGGGUCAUCUUCUAAUGAGUUUAGCCCCUUAAUCCCAAAUUGAGACUAAAUAUGGACCCUUUGAUCUAAAAAUUAAAGGCUGAGAUUGAAUGAAAAAAAUAUCAAUAUAUUGAAUUAACAAUCUCAACGAAAGGGUAAAAUGGACAAUUUACGUAAAAUUCAGCCUGCACAUUCAAUUUCAUUUCUAAAACCAUUCUCUCCACCUUCAACAACCACACCACUCACUCCAUCUUUUCUCUCAAUCCGUCGCCCCAUUCACUGAAUUUUCUCUCUGAAUCUCUCAAUCUCAUCACCGUUUCACUGCAUUUUCUCUCUGAAUCUCUCAAUCUCGUCGUCGUUCACUGCAUUUUCUCUAUCAAUCGCCCAAUCUCGUCGCCAUUCACGUCAUUUUCUCUCUCAAUCUCUUUCGCCGUCCAAAACUAGAUUCACUACUCCAAAACACAUAUCUCUAACUCAAAUACAGAAGAACAGCUCGAAAACUCCCAUUCUCCUCCGAAGAAAAGCUCGAACUAUGGCAGAUUCACAGAUUUGAAGAAAAACGACGGUAAAUAUGAUAUUUAAACUCCGAAAUUUGUUUUAAACUUGCUAAAAUUUCAACAGAAAUGAAACUAAUAGAUUUAUUUUGCAGUGAACGACUUCAAAAAAGGUGCAAUGGUUUAAGUCGAAAAUGCUCCUGCUGAAUCGAAAUGUAUUUUUCAAUUUGAUUUACCGAUUUCUGAUUUUUUGCAUUGCAGUUUGAGAUUUCAGAUUUCAACAAAGAAUUAGGGUUCAAAUUUUAGUGAAAUAUGUUUAUAAGCUUCUGUAGUUGUAUUAUUGGUAGAUUGAUUUCUGAUUUGAUAGCAUAUGAGAAUAUGAAUCUUCAUUUUCUGAAAGCUUGAAGCUCUGAUGAAUUAUUUAGAAGAUCUGUUAAUAUUAGAAAGCUUUUGUAUCCAGUACAAAUAUGGAUAUUGGGUAAGCUAAAUGUUGAUAUUGGGUAAGCUAUAUAUGAUGAUGUGUAAGCUAUAUGUUGAUAUUGGAUAAGGUAUAUGUUGAUAUUGGGUAAGCUAUAUGCUGAUGAUGUCUUAGCUAAAUGUUGAUAAUGGGUAAGCUAUAUGUUGAUAUUGGGUAAACUAUAUGUUGAUAUUGGGUUAGAUAUGUGUUGAUGAUGUCUUAGCUAAAUGUAUGCUAUAUGUUGAUAUUUGUGAAUUCAACAACCUGUUAGAAUGAUUGUAGUACUUGUCAUAAGUUUGUUUCUAAACUAAUCAUGGUUUAUGUUUACCAAAAUUACAAAUUUGCAAGUCGGUGAAGGAGAAGACAAAACAUCAUCUGACUGAAUGCGAAUGCAACAAAUUUGCCAAGGUUGAUGUGGAAGAGCUUAUUGCAAAUUGGGGAAAACAGUAGGAGCUUUGGAGGAUUAAAAAUAAACUUCUUUUGCGAUAUUUUUGAAUGUAGAAAUACUAAUGGCAUUACCUGGACAUGUUAUGUUAGUGUUCCUUUUGUCAGUAAUGAGAAAUAUCGUAACUCAUCUACAAAA